rnacentral:sRNA from 1 species
ACCUCUGCCGCAGCCCGUGCCGCCGCCGCCGCCUCCCGGGAAGAGAGGAAGCGGGAGAGGAGCCCACGUCGCCUGUCACCCAAUAUCUCCAGCCGCGCAGUCCCGAAGAGUGUAAGAUGUUCGCCUGCGCCAAGCUCGCCUGCACCCCCUCUCUGAUCCGAGCUGGAUCCAGAGUUGCAUACAGACCAAUUUCUGCAUCAGUGUUAUCUCGACCAGAGGCUAGUAGGACUGGAGAGGUAAUAGUAGCAAUAAUUGAAAUUAGGUAACACUACCAAAUAAGGGUAGGGUUUUGAUUAGAGUGAAGGAAAAAAACUUUAUUAAUAAGAGUUUGAGGGCAAGUCUUUCCCACCCUUUUAUCCAAAAAACUAGAUGAGCCAAAUAGCCAAAAAUAGAGAGCCAAAAAACUAGAUGAGCCAAAUAGAGAAAUUUCUCUAUCCAAAACUUGGCCAAGUAUUUAUAUUCAAGUCUAUUGAUUUAAGUUGCCUAUAUUUAAAAUUAUAAUAGCUACAGUUAUUGAAAAAUGUACUCAUUGGGCUGGAUGCGGUGGCUCACACCUGUGUUCCUAGCACUGUGGGAGGCCAAGGAGGGAGGAUUGCUUGACCCCAGGAGUUCAAGAUCAGCCUGGGCCACAUAGUAAGAUCCUGUUUCUACAAAACAUUUAAAAAUUAACCCAGCCUGGUGGUCACCUGUAG